AUAGUUUUAUUAUUGCUGUUUUUAUUAGGAAAAAUAAUUUAAAAUUUUGGAUUUAGUAGUGAGUAACGAAAUAUUGAACUUGCGAUAGUAAAAAAGUACUGACAAGGAAAUAUGAAAUAACUUGAAAAUUUAAUUUAAAAAAAGUAGAUAUAAAAAAUCGUACCUUGUGUAUCAGGGGAUAAUUAAUAAACUUUAUGUAUAUAAGUUUCCCAAAAAAGAAAGAUCUAAAUUCUUGAAAUUAUUUCUGUGUCAUUAUGAUUUAAAACAAGUGUUUAGAAGUGAAAUAUUAAUCGGUUUCUUUGAUAUUUGGUUUCUUGAGAAUUAAAUUUAAUUUUGUUUCAUUUUUAUUGAAAGUUAUUUAUUUAAUUUAAAUAAGGUGAAAAUUAGGGUUAGAGGGAUUAGCUUUUAAUUCGAAUAAAAUUUAUGUAUAAUUUUAAAAUUCAAAAAAUGUUUGUAUGCUUAGAAAUAGCAUUUAAUAAAAAUAAUGUUAUAAUUUACAUUUUUGUAUAGAUUAUUUAAUUAGAGUUUACAGAGGUUAUUAAGAUAUUUUUCUAAAUUGUUUAGAGAAAGAAAUAAUAUUAUUAUGAGUAGAAUAUUUAUUUGGUUAGGGAAAGUAAAAAAAUUAUAACAAAGGAACUCGGCAAAUAUAUUUUUCGCCUGUUUAUCAAAAACAUCUCCUCAAGAAUUAAUUUGAGGUAUAGCCUGCUCUAUGAAUUUAUUUAAAUGGCCGCGGUAUUCUGACCGUGCGAAGGUAGCAUAAUCAUUAGUCUUUUAAUUGAAGGCUGGUAUGAAUGGCUGGACGAGAAAAUUUCUGUCUCUGUUAUAAAUUUUGAAUUUGAUUUUUAAGUGAAAAAGCUUAAAUAUUUUUGGGGGACGAUAAGACCCUAUGGAUCUUUAUAAUGAUGAUUAAUAAAAAGUUUAGAAGUUACAGCUUUUUACUCUAAGUUAUUGGGUUGGGGCGACUGGAAGAAAAGAAUAUCUCUUCUUAAAAAUAAAUAUUAUUUAUAGAAUUAAAAAUGACCCUAAAUUUUGGUUUAGCAGAUCAAGUUACCCUAGGGAUAACAGCGUAAUCUUUUUGGAGAGUUCAUAUCGAUGAAAAGGUUUGCGACCUCGAUGUUGGAUUAAGAGAUCCUUGCGGCGCAGCAGUUGCGGAGGAAAGUCUGUUCGACUUUUAAAUUCUUACAUGAUCUGAGUUCAAACCGGCGUGAGCCAGGUUGGUUUCUAUCUCCAAAUUUUUUAUUUCAUUUUAGUACGAAAGGAUUAAAUGAAAAAAGGUUCUUUAAAGUAAGAAUAAGAUUAAUAGCUUU
rnacentral:rRNA from 1 species